rnacentral:rRNA from 1 species
GUCUGGUUAGAACCCAUUGCCGUAAAACCUUUAAUUUUCUAGGUUGACCUCGGAUCAGGUAGGGAUACCCGCUGAACUUAAGCAUAUCAAUAAGCGGAGGAAAAGAAACCAACAGGGAUUGCCCUAGUAACGGCGAGUGAAGCGGCAAUAGCUCAAAUUUGAAAGCUGGCCUCUGGUCCGCAUUGUAAUUUGUAGAGGAUGCUUUUAGGCAGCCGCCGGUCUAAGUUCCUUGGAACAGGACGUCAUAGAGGGUGAGAAUCCCGUAUGUGACCGGCUCAGGCACCUUCUGUAAAGCUCCUUCGACGAGUCGAGUUGUUUGGGAAUGCAGCUCUAAAUGGGAGGUAAAUUUCUUCUAAAGCUAAAUACCGGCGAGAGACCGAUAGCGCACAAGUAGAGUGAUCGAAAGAUGAAAAGCACUUUGGAAAGAGAGUUAAAAAGCACGUGAAAUUGUUGAAAGGGAAGCGCUUGCAAUCAGACUUGGCCUCGRRUGUUCAACCGGUCUUCUGACCGGCCUAUUCAUUCGGGGCCAGGCCAGCAUCAGUUUCGGCGGCCGGAUAAAGGCCUUGGGAAUGUGGCUUUYYCUUCGGGGGAAGUGUUAUAGCCCAGGGUGUAAUACGGCCAGCUGGGACUGAGGUCCGC